UUUAGAGAUCGAUCUCAGCAACUAAGAGGAGUUAUUUGGCUGUAACCCUUACCCCUUUAACCCAGGAGAGGUUAAGAUGCAGCCGUGGAAAGCAGCUGGAGCCUUCACUUGGUUCUAGAUUUACAAUCUCGUGGACUGAUUUUUGAAUAUAAUCCAGCAAAAAGGGAAGUGCGAACUCAGGUUGAGAAGCUAGCAGGGUUUGGAGGCAUCGGAAGUUAACAUUUAGAAGCUUUUGGGGAGUAAUUUGAGUACCUGGGACUGAACCAAAACAGGGAAUUAAGCUGGAAUAUUAUACAAGGUUUUUAAAUUACUUUCGGCUAGAGAGCGAAGGCUUUUGGAGCUAAAUCUUAGUACCCUAACUUGAUUUGAACCAGGGGAGUUGAUUAUCGCAGCGUGCAAGGUGAAACUCUAUCAUUUUAGAGUGUUAAUGCAAUAAGUCUCAUAGAGAUUGAGUAAUGUUCCUAGGUGACUUUGCACUAAUUACUAGGGCAUUUGGAGGAUUGUGAAUAUUUGUACCUGCAAGGGUUUGACGUGGAUC